AUGUUCCUUGGAACAGGACGUCACAGAGGGUGAGAAUCCCGUGCGAUGGGGUGUCCAAUUCUAUGUAGAGUGCUUUCGAAGAGUCGAGUUGUUUGGGAAUGCAGCUCUAAGUGGGUGGUAAAUUCCAUCUAAAGCUAAAUAUUGGCGAGAGACCGAUAGCGAACAAGUACAGUGAUGGAAAGAUGAAAAGAACUUUGAAAAGAGAGUGAAAAAGUACGUGAAAUUGUUGAAAGGGAAGGGCUUGAGAUCAGACUCGGUAUUUUGCGAUCCUAUCCUUCGUGGAGAGGUUUCACUUGCAGCUUACCGGGCCAGCAUCGGUUUGGAUGGUAGGAUAAUGACAUUGGAAUGUGGCUUUUCGGAGUGUUAUAGCCUUUGUUGAUACUGCCUAUCUAGACCGAGGACUGCGUCUUUGACUAGGAUGCUGGCAUAAU
rnacentral:rRNA from 2 species